AUAAAAAAAAUUAUGUUAACUAAAAUAGAAUUUAUAUAUUAGAAAUCUAAUCCCUAAUAUACCACUAAUGGAUUGUAGCCGCAGACCCUCACCCUCACUCUCGAUCUCUCCGUCGACGCACCCCUCACCCUCGAUCUCUCUGUCGCCGCACCCUCACCCUCCCUCUCGAUCUCUCCGUCGCCGCCUCUACCUCAGCCAGCCGAUUGUAGCCGCACCGCCACCGUCGCCGACCGAAUAGCACAGGCAGAAGGGACGAUUCGCACGGAGCGAAGAGCACAGGCCGAAGUAAGGAGACUUUACCAGGUGGAGUUUCAGUCAAUAAAAAGAGAGUUGAAAAAGGGCUUUCACAACUAAAGGUU